rnacentral:rRNA from 2 species
GACGAACCGUCCUAACGUUGUUCGGAAUCACUGGGCUUAAAGGGCGCGUAGGCGGUCGGCAAAGUCAGGGGUGAAAUCUUUCGGCUUAACCGGAAAAGUGCCUUUGAAACUAGUCGACUCGAGCGAGAUAGGGGCAUGUGGAACUUCCGGUGGAGCGGUGAAAUGCGUUGAUAUCGGAAGGAACGCCGGUGGCGAAAGCGACAUGCUGGAUCUCUUCUGACGCUGAGGCGCGAAAGCUAGGGGAGCAAACGGG